ACCACCUCCCCCCUGAGGAGAGGACCGGGCUUCGGUCAAGGGUAUACGAGUAGCUGCGCUCCCCUGCUAGAACCUCCAAACAAGCUCUCAAAAACGGAUAAUCUGUGUGUGCUGAUAAUUCUAUAUAAUAAAAGGCUAAUAUGCAAAUU
rnacentral:snRNA from 1 species